AGGGUUUCAUUUUUGUGGCAUUCACUUGUUCUCUUCUCUCUUUGUCAGUUUUUUUUUCUUUCUAGGGUUUGAUUCGGAGACGAGGGUUUUUUUCGAUUCGAUUUACACUAGGAUUUCUUAUCAGUUUUUCGAUUUCAUCAUCAUCAUCGAAAGAGGGGUUUAUAGAGGUUAGAUCUAGGUAGCUAGAUAGAUUCAGCGACCACAUCCAUGAAGAAAAAGAAGAAGAUAAGAGAGGUUGUGAUUUCGAAAAUUGAAAUCGGUAUGAGCGGAAUCGGAAAUUGAAGCCAAACAAAUGAGUCUGCAACGGGAUUACACAGCAGGACAUUCUUGAUUUUCCCUCCUUAACCUAGAGAUAUCCUUUUUGCAAGCUCCCAAGGGAUACUUAUGUGAUACCUUCCUUGGAGCCCGCCGGUGGAGAAAAAAUAAAAAGGGGCAUUUGAGGGGGGCAUUGUAUGUGUACUAGACUCAUUUCCACCAGUAGAGUAACAAGUAAAUAAAGGGCCUUCAGCAAAUAAGAAUUUAGUGGCUGAAUGAGAGAUUGUCUGUUAUUAUGAUUUUUCCUCUCAAUUAGCUGCAGCAACAAUUUUCCUCCUCUGUCUCUCCGGGAACCUGUGGUGUAUGAGGCACUUACUUUGCCGGGAAUGCUGUGUAAGGGGUUGGCUUUAGUUGUGGUCUGCAGCCAGUAACGCAAGGCUGCUUGCUGUUGCUUUUUUCGGGCUAAAUUUUUGAAUUGGAAAACUUCACCUUAACAUGUAUACCUUUUUAUUGUGUGUAGUGUAUGCGCCACAAAUUCUUGGAGGUUGUUGUUAUAGGAGCAGCAAAGAAACAAGUAUAUGAUGGCAAGUACUUAAUUUUGAAAACAGACAUGGCAAAUCCAAGACGAAUUCCAACAAGCGCAGGAUGAGGUUCAGUGUUGAAAAAACCAAUUUUUGCUAGACACGCCAUUAUUUCUCCAAAUCCUGCACAACGUAAAAGUUGAAAAAUGAGAUGCAAGUGCUAGAUUGAACUAUGUUUCCUACUUAGCAUUAGCUAUGCAAAAAUUGAGCUCGUGCCUUCAUAGCGCAAGGUUCCCCUGAAGAUGGUUGUAGCUUCUUCGCCUAUUCCGUAAAAAUCCCCAUAGACCAAGGAGUUACGGUUUGGAAGACACUCCAAAGCGAAAGCUGGAAGAUCAGGUAUCCUGAACCUGGUUGCUGAUUCAUACAGUUUAUCCCCUGCAAGUUCUCAUGGUUAUUCGAAAUAGAAGCAGGUAGAGACAACAUCUGUGCACUAAUGUGUAUUGCUUGUAAACUGCGUACCAUCAACGUGCACAAUUUCUCCACAAUACUUGUACGUGGCUGGAUUCCUCCCGGCUUUAAUAGCUCCUGCAGGAUUCCAACUGAAAUACCCAAAUUUGUAAAUCUUACUGUACAAGGUCUCUGUUUUUGCUCUCUUUGGUGUAUGAAAAAAAGUUUG